UAUAUUUUAGUAUAUGACGUACAAAAGCUUUUGGUGCUUUAAGAAGCAGUUUAAUUCUGUUAAAUAUAA
rnacentral:tRNA from 1 species